rnacentral:rRNA from 1 species
AUACGUAGGGUGCGAGCGUUAAUCGGAAUUACUGGGCGUAAAGCGUGCGCAGGCGGUUUUGUAAGACAGUGGUGAAAUCCCCGGGCCCAACCUGGGAACUGCCAUUGUGAAUGCACAGCUGGAGGGCGGCAGAGGGGGGUGGAAUUCCCCGUGUAGGAGUGAAAUGCGUAGAUAUGCGGAGGAACACCGAUGGCGAAGGCAAUCCCCUGGGCCUGCACUGACGCUCAUGCACGAAAGCGUGGGGAGCAAACAGGAUUAGAUACCCUGGUAGUCCACGCCCUAAACGAUGUCAACUGGUUGUUGGGAAUUUAUUUUCUCAGUAACGAAGCUAACGCGUGAAGUUGACCGCCUGGGGAGUACGGCCGCAAGGUUAAAACUCAAAGGAAAUGACGGGG